rnacentral:lncRNA from 10 species
AAAAAUGUUAGUUCUUUUCCACCACUGUUUACUCAUUCGUUUUACAACUGCUCAACUUUGUUCUGGUCCAGCAGGACUCUCUUGUACAAGCCCCAACAGCUCCAUGCCCAUCCCUGCCCAGGGUCCAGCCUUGUCUUAGUAAACAUUCAUCUCCCUGACUCAGGCUGCUGCUUAGAAAUUCUGUUUCGGUUGCAGUUCCAUUGUGUGGAGCCAGUACUACAACUUUUCCUCCUGCAUUCAUUUCUCUUCCUGCUGCCUUGUGAAGAAGGUGCCUUGCUUCCCCUUCACCUUCUACGGUGAUUGCAAGUUGCCUGAGGAUUCCCCAGCCAUGUGAAACUAUAUUCCAGAAAGAGGGACGAGCAUGAGCAAAGAUGGCAACAAAUUGAAAGAAGGCCAGUGGGCUCCAAGCAUGCCUCCCUCCUCCCAGAGUGAGUUACCCUUCUCUAAGAAUCACUGGAAAUCCUGUCUCUGUUCCUGCUAUUGGAUGCCUGGCGAGGAUCCUGUAAAACUAGGCAUCUCUAUUUCCUGAGACCCAGGGAUAUUUAAAUUAGGCCAAUUAAUAAUUUUACAGUGGCCUCUAAAUGUUCAGUGGACAGGAGAGUGACACAUCUCUCACUUUAAAUCACAAGCUAGAAAUGACUAAACUUAGUAAGGAAGGCAUGUCGAAAGCCAAGAUAGGCAGAAAAGAAUGCCUCUUGUGCCAAACAGGCUAGUUGUGAGUGCAAAGAAAAAAUUCUUGAAGAAAUUAAAAGUGCUA